rnacentral:rRNA from 1 species
AUUGAACGCUGGCGGCAUGCCUUACACAUGCAAGUCGAACGGUAACAGGUUAAGCUGACGAGUGGCGAACGGGUGAGUAAUACAUCGGAACGUGCCCAGUAGUGGGGGAUAGCCCGGCGAAAGCCGGAUUAAUACCGCAUACGACCUAAGGGUGAAAGGGGGGGAUCGCAAGACCUCUCGCUAUUGGAGCGGCCGAUGUCAGAUUAGCUAGUUGGUGGGGUAAAAGCUCACCAAGGCGACGAUCUGUAGCUGGUCUGAGAGGACGACCAGCCACACUGGGACUGAGACACGGCCCAGACUCCUACGGGAGGCAGCAGUGGGGAAUUUUGGACAAUGGGCGCAAGCCUGAUCCAGCCAUGCCGCGUGCGGGAAGAAGGCCGUCGGGUUGUAAACCGCUUUUGUCAGGGAAGAAAUCCUUUGGGUUAAUACCUCGGGGGGAUGACGGUACCUGAAGAAUAAGCACCGGCUAACUACGUG